AGGGAAGUCUUCUUUACUGUGCGGGAGGGGGCAUGUUUUUAGCAGCAAGGUCGUUCUUUGUGUCAAAAUUCUACUUGUGAAGUUGUGACGAAUUUUCUGUUUAUAAUAUUUGCUUAUUAUUGAGUGACUGUAGCUUGUGCGAGGUUGCAAAGGUCGUUGUGCGUGUAUGUGGUCGGUAGUUUGUAGUUUUUAAAACGAUUUGUGUAUUUUACGGACGCUCCAAUGAGUCUGGGAGGAGGACAGAACCCUGAGGGACCAAAUGCAGGAGGCAUAUUUGUUCAAUUUAACCAAGACUGCACGUCGCUGGUGGCGGGCAGUAGCAGCGGGUACCACCUGUUCGCGCUAACGGCGGACGACGGGCUGGAGGAGAUCUACGCGUCGCGCUCCGGCCAGGACACCUGCCUCGUCGACCGCCUGUUCAGCAGCUCGCUCGUGGCCGUCGUCACCGUCGCCGCGCCCAGGAAGCUGAUCGUGUGUCACUACAAGAAGGGCACGGAGAUAUGUAACUACAGCUACAGCAACACCAUCCUCGCGGUGAAGCUGAACCGCUCGCGGCUGAUCGUGUGCCUGGAGGAGUCGCUGCACAUCCACAACAUCCGCGACAUGAAGAUCCUGCACACCAUCCGCGACACGCCGCCCAACCCGCGCGGGCUGUGCGCGCUGUCGCCGUGCGUGGACCACUGCUACGUGGCGUACCCCGGCUCCAGCGCCGUGGGCGAGGUGCAGAUCUUCGACGCCGUGCACCUCAACGCCAAGUGCGUGAUCAGCGCGCACGACUCGCCGCUGGCCGCGCUGGCGUGGUCCAUGUGCGGCCGGCGGCUGGCCACGGCGUCGGAGCGCGGCACCGUCAUCCGCGUGUUCGCCGUGCCCGAGCGCACGCGCCUCUACGAGUUCCGGCGCGGCGUCAAGCGCUGCGUGUCCAUCUCGUGCCUGGCCUUCAGCUCGUGCGGCGUGUACCUGGCGUGCACGUCCAACACGGAGACGGUGCACGUGUUCAAGCUGACGGAGGGCGCGGCCGGGGCCGGCGCGGCGCCGGCGCCCGAGGACGCGGAGGCGGAGGCCGAGGGCUCCGGCUGGAUGGAGUGGCUGCAGCGCGGGCUGGCGGCGGGCGCCGGCUACCUGCCGCAGCACGUGGCCGACGUGCUGGCGCAGGGCCGCGCCUUCGCCGCCGCCCGCCUGCCCGUCACGGGCUACAGGGCGCGCGUCGCCAUCACCAGCGUGGCGCGGGCGCCGCGGCUGCUGGUGGCCACGUCUGCGGGCGUGCUGUACGUGUACGCGCUGGCGCCCGAGGGCGGCGACUGCGCGCUGCUGCGCCAGCACCACUUCCUGGAGCCCCGCGCCGCGCCGCCGCCGCCAGAGGCCGAGCGCACCGGCGAGCUGGGCGCGGCGCUGGAGGGCUCCCCGCCGCGCGGGCCCUUCGACCUGCGCGACCCGCGCCACUUCCCGCCCAUGCGCGCCGCCGAGUAGCGCCCACGCCGCCACACGCCCGCCGCCCCCGCCGCCCUCGCCGCCGCCUCCCGCUCCGAAUGUGGUCGGUAAUACUUGUAUAUAGGCGCACGCCAAUAGGCCGUGGCCGGCCCCCCGCCCCCCGCCCGCCGCCAGCCUGCAGACCGCGCCGCGACGGUCUCGGCUCGGCCGGAGCGAAUUUGUGUGCGCGCCCUGUACAUAUUUGUAAACUAUGUGACGCCUGUAAUGUAAAAUAUUUAGCUGUAAUCGUAACUAUGCAAUGUGAUAGUGAAGUGACGAAGAACGUGUCCGAUGCUUGUGUGUGUGUAUGUAUAGUAUAAGUGCGCCGUACUCCUCUGAAAUGUAUUCCUAAGGACGCACUCUGUGCCGGGUGACGACAGUGCGCAGCGUCGCGUCUGUCGCGGUCCGUGUCGCGCUGCCGUGACAGCGGGUGCCGCGACAGCGGGUGCCGCGACAGCGGGACAAGCGCCGCCGCCAACCGCGCGCAGAGGACGCUCAAGUAAAAGACGAUCGAGGGGAGGCGCUCACCCUUUUCUCGAUUUAUAAUCUACGACGUAGGCGAUUGCGACAAUAUAUUGAAGUCGUAUAAAUCAUACGCAAAGUUAAAAAAAUAGAACAUCACCCAAAAAAUAUGUAAAAAAUAAAUGAUGUAGCUAGAGACCGGCAGCCGAGACGCGCCACCUCGCCACCUGGCGGCCGUUGCCGGUAACUCGAGCAGGUUUAUUAUUAUGUAUUUUAUUUUUAUAUUAAAAAUGACAUGUAACUACAAUGUAAUUAUUAUUUUUAACUUUUGUUAUUGCUGUUACCAAUCAACUAAUCACUUGCAAAAAAUAAAAGGCAAAUUUUGACAAUUUUAGAUCGUUAAAAUGAUCCACUAUUCCUGUAUCAGUGGUGCUACUUUGGAUAGGGUGGUGAAAUGUGUGUCGUGAAGGGUUAAUUCACGCAGUACACAGGGUGUUAGUGACAUCGUAACGAAUGGGACGUCUAUUUGAUUGUACUAAAAACGAUGAUAGAUGUUUUUAUUGUCGCAAAUGUUUAAUUAAGAUUUUGUUUUUUUACUGCACCGCAAUAUAAAUUGAACGACGCGAAACAGUCGCUAGACCUACCUACCUACGCGCGGCUAUUUUACACGUACGUGAUACGUUGUUGAUACCAAGGUUAGUGGUUCAACGUUUAAAAAUUGUUGAGUUUGUUGAAGUAGAUGACCUACUGCCACGAUUUUUCACGCACGGUACCUACCUAUCACUUAUUAAAAUGUACCUAACUUAUUAAUUACUCUACUUUUACCUUACCUUAAUUGUUAUUCCUUCGGAUGAAGUACCUAGGUACUCUAUAACACGUUGCGUAGGUAUGCAACAUCGCGUCUCCUCCGCGGUACGUAGGUAUUACAUGCACUCACUAACAACACCAUGCUCUUUAAUAAAACAGACAUUCUUCCAUACUCUUGCGCAGUAAAUAGUCCAUGAUCCAUCAUCAUAGUCGACAUUACUCAUUUACAAAAUAAAACAAACACGAAAAACUGAGCUGAAGCGGGUGUCAAAGGCGCCGCCGCCGCCGCCCGCGACCGCCCCGAGCCGACGACUAGAGCGAGAAAGAAACAUUUUUAUGCUGCAGGCGAUACAGAAACACAUAGUAUCUGUUCGUAAUGCCUGGUUUGUUGGCGCGCGUUGCCAUUGACCCGUGCGGAUGUUCACCUGUGCACAGCUGAAGUUGUAAGUUAUUGUUUAUCGUGGUUGUACAUUGGUAAUUUUAACAAUUAGUCAUUUUUAUUUGUUUUAAAUUUGGGUUCCAUGCAGCUUAAAACACAAUAUGGGACUGAAAAAAAAAUACUAAAAUUUUAAUGAAUUUUGCGACAGGAAAUUCCACUCGAUAUCAACUCAUAAUCAUGGUCUGAAUCAUCCCUCAGUUUUCGUUACAAUGUCACUUACACCUUGUAUAACCCGCACCACGGUACCGCGCAGCGCUAGGACUUGUAUAGCAACUGCAGACGAGGCGACCCUCUAUAUAUAUUUUCAGUUUUUUUAUUUAGUUACUUUUGUAUUAGCAUUCGUCCACUCUGAUAAACUUGUAAUAUAACAUAAAUACAUAUCACCUCCACGAGCGCCGUUCCACGGCACGCUUAUAUCAAGCAAAUAAUGGUAUUAUACAGGGUGUUGUUGACAUUAUAACGAAGUGGAAUUAUCCGUGGCAAAAGUAUGAAACUGAAAAUAGCUAAAAAAAAUUUUUUCAUUAAUUUUCUCACAGAAAACUCCACUUGAUAUCAACCUAGAAUCAUGGUCUGAAUCUUCCGCCUAAGUAUUCGUUACGGGGUGUCACUAACAUACCUACUUGUAUGGCUACCUGUACUGAGUGUAAGUGACAUCGUAACGAAUACUGAGAGGGAUGAUGCAGCUCAUUAUUCUGAGUUAAUAUCAAGUGGAAGAUCGCAAAAGUAUAGAAUUGAAAAUAAUUAAAAAAAAACUAAAAAUAAAACAUGACUUUGCGAUAGAAAAUUCCACUUGAUGUUAACUCAGAAUCAUAGUCUAAAUCCCCUUAGUAUUCGUUACGAUGUCACUAACUCCCUGUAUAUUUUAUCAGUGUGGACUCGAACCGGAGUAAACAGUUAUUCUGUAUUCAGAGCCCAUAAUAUUUAGAGUAAUAGUAAUAAUUGAUUAUUUUAAGCAUUUUUUAAUGUUUGGAUGUGGCGACUGUGAUCCAUUAAAGAUAACGAAGACAUUCAGCAGAUGGUAUUGUGUGAAAGGUGAGUCGAGGUGGUAUUUGUCGGGUCUCGCUCGCUGUUUAGAUACAAAAUUGUACAUAAUAAUUAUUAAUAAAUAUUUUUAUAAAA
rnacentral:misc_RNA from 1 species